CCCGCGCCGUAUUAGCUAGUUGGUAAGGUAACGGCUUACCAAGGCGACGAUACGUAGCCGACCUGAGAGGGUGAUCGGCCACACUGGAACUGAGACACGGUCCAGACUCCUACGGGAGGCAGCAGUAGGGAAUCUUCCGCAAUGGGCGAAAGCCUGACGGAGCAACGCCGCGUGAGUGAUGAAGGUCUUCGGAUCGUAAAGCUCUGUUGUUAGGGAAGAACAUAUGUGUAAGUAACUGUGCACAUCUUGACGGUACCUAACCAGAAAGCCACGGCUAACUACGUGCCAGCAGCCGCGGUAAUACGUAGGUGGCAAGCGUUAUCCGGAAUUAUUGGGCGUAAAGCGCGCGUAGGCGGUUUUUUAAGUCUGAUGUGAAAGCCCACGGCUCAACCGUGGAGGGUCAUUGGAAACUGGAAAACUUGAGUGCAGAAGAGGAAAGUGGAAUUCCAUGUGUAGCGGUGAAAUGCGCAGAGAUAUGGAGGAACACCAGUGGCGAAGGCGGCUUUCUGGUCUGUAACUGACGCUGAGGUGCGAAAGCGUGGGGAUCAAACAGGAUUAGAUACCCUGGUAGUCCACGCCGUAAACGAUGAGUGCUAAGUGUUAGGGGGUUUCCGCCCCUUAGUGCUGCAGCUAACGCAUUAAGCACUCCGCCUGGGGAGUACGGUCGCAAGACUGAAACUCAAAGGAAUUGACGGGGACCCGCACAAGCGGUGGAGCAUGUGGUUUAAUUCGAAGCAACGCGAAGAACCUUACCAAAUCUUGACAUCUUUUGACCGCUCUAGAGAUAGAGUUUUCCUCUUCGGAGGACAAAAUGACAGGUGGUGCAUGGUUGUCGUCAGCUCGUGUCGUGAGAUGUUGGGUUAAGUCCCGCAACGAGCGCAACCCUUAAGCUUAGUUGCCAUCAUUAAGUUGGGCACUCUAAGUUGACUGCCGGUGACAAACCGGAGGAAGGUGGGGAUGACGUCAAAUCAUCAUGCCCCUUAUGAUUUGGGCUACACACGUGC
rnacentral:rRNA from 1 species